rnacentral:rRNA from 1 species
ACGAACGCUGGCGGCGUGCUUAACACCUGCCAGUCGAACGGUGAAGCGCCUUCCUUUUUGGUGGGUGUGGAUGAGUGGCGAACGGGUGAGUAACACGUGAGUAACCUGCCCCCUUCUUCUGGAUAACCGCAUGAAAGUGUGGCUAAUACGGGAUAUUCUGGGUCUGUCGCAUGAUGGGUCUGGGAAAGAUAUUGUUUCGGUGGGGGAUGGGCUCGCGGCCUAUCAGCUUGUUGGUGGGGUGAUGGCCUACCAAGGCGGUGACGGGUAGCCGGCCUGAGAGGGUGGACGGUCACACUGGGACUGAGACACGGCCCAGACUCCUACGGGAGGCAGCAGUGGGGAAUAUUGCACAAUGGGCGCAAGCCUGAUGCAGCGACGCCGCGGGAGGGAUGGAGGCCUUCGGGUUGUGAACCUCUUUCGCCAGUGAAGCAGGCCUGCCUCGUUUGUGGGUGGGUUGACGGUAGCUGGAUAAGAAGCGCCGGCUAACUACGUG